ACUCAAUAGAUACCCAGGUAGUCCACGCCCUAAACGAUGCAUAUUUGGUGUGGGCAGUUCAUUCUGUCCGUGCCGGAGCUAACGCGUUAAAUAUGCCGCCUGGGGAGUACAGUCGCAAGGCUGAAACUCAAAGGAAUUGACGGGGGCCCGCACAAGCGGUGGAGCAUGUGGUUCAAUUCGACGCAACGCGAAGAACCUUACCUGGGCUCGAACGGCUGGUCAACGGCGGUGGAAACACUGUUACCCCGCAAGGGGGUCCAGUCGAGGUGCUGCAUGGCUGUCGUCAGCUCGUGUCGUGAGAUGUUGGGUUAAGUCCCGCAACGAGCGCAACCCUUGUCCUGUGUUGCCAUGCCGAAAGGCGGAACUCGCAGGAGACCGCCAGCGAUAAGCUGGAGGAAGGUGGGGAUGACGUCAAGUCCUCAUGGCCUUUAUGUCCAGGGCUACACACGUGCUACAAUGGACGGUACAAUACGUCGCUAACCCGCGAGGGGAGCCAAUCGCAAAAAACCGUUCUCAGUUCGGAUUGCAGGCU
rnacentral:rRNA from 1 species